CUGUCUGUGUGGCGGUCCGUCCGUCCGGCGGGUGGGACGGACGACGGACGGACGGACCGGCAGAGCAGACCAUCUCCGCUCCUCUUCCAGUCCACCGGGUUGGACUCGCCCGCUGCGCGGUGGGCGCGAGUGGCGCAGCGGGGCGGACCGAGGCUCGUCUGCUGCUGCUGCUGUUUCGGGACUUCUCCGAAGGCCCCCCCCUUACGGAGUGGCGAUGCACAGGUGAGCCAAGCCUCAAGGAAGGAGGAGCAGGCCCCUUGCGAGACGGACGCGCUGCAGGCGAAAUCAUCAGAGCCGCGCGCGGCUUCAUCGUAUGGCUAGCUGCUCGGCCGCGCGGUCCUUGGGGUGCAGCUUCCUGGAGGCGCCGGUGUGCCGCGCUUGCCGCCUCCUUCCUCCCCCUUUCCCCUCACCUCCGCCCCGGAGGCGUUUGCCUUACGGGGCGCGCUCAGCUUUAUAUGACGCAUCGCUCGCGUAAUGGUAACAAAUGACAGACGCCGACAACAGAGCGGCGCAGCGUGACCGCGGCACGCCACCACCACCGCUCCAACCACCGCCCA